rnacentral:rRNA from 1 species
CAAUAGCGUAUAUUAAAGUUGUUGCGGUUAAAAAGCUCGUAGUUGGAUUUCUGCCGAGGACGACCGGUCCGCCCUCUGGGUGUGUAUCUGGUUUGGCCUGGGCAUCUUCUUGGAGAACGUAGCUGCACUUGACUGUGUGGUGCGGUGUCCAGGACUUUUACUUUGAGGAAAUUAGAGUGUUUCAAGCAGGCACACGCCUUGAAUACAUUAGCAUGGAAUAAUAAGAUAGGACCUCGGUUCUAUUUUGUUGGUUUCUAGAGCUGAGGUAAUGAUUAAUAGGGAUAGUUGGGGGCAUUCGUAUUUAAUUGUCAGAGGUGAAAUUCUUGGAUUUAUGAAAGACGAACUAGUGCGAAAGCAUUUGCCAAGGAUGUUUUCAUUAA